rnacentral:ncRNA from 1 species
UUAGAAUUUUUUAGUUCUUGUUUACUUUAUUAUUGAAAUUUAUAUGCAAAUUUUAGUGCGAAGGAGAGAUUUUUAGAUAAGCUUGGUCAAGCAAGUCGCAGUAAAGAAGAUUAUUUAUUUAAGGGAUUAAGAAAUGGUUAGGAUAAAGAGUGUGGGCUAAGUUUGUGCCAGCAGCCGCGGUUACACAGGCUAUGCAAUAGUAAAUUUUUGGUUUUAGUAAAUUUAAUGAAUGUAGUAUGAGAAAAGGAAUUAUUAGGUGAAAUUCUAUUUCUUUUUGGUCUAAGUCGGUGGAAAUUUGGUGAAACUGGGAAAACUUUGAUUUAAACUAGGAUUAGAUACCCUAUUAUAGGAGAGGUGAAGAAUAAAAGCCAGGUGAGUAGCAGCUAUUUUCUUGAAAAUUAUAAAAGUUGGCGGUAUUUUAGUCUGUUCAGAGGAACCUGUUCUGUAAUCGAUAGUCCACGGUUUUAAGUACUUGUUUUUUUAAUUUGCAUAUCGCCGUAGGUUGAAUGUUUUUAAAGAAAAUUAGUGUUCAAUGGUUUUAGGGAAAAUAAAUCAGGUCAAGGUGUAGUUUAUAGACGAGAAGAAAUGGGUUACAGUAAAAGUAUUUUAACGGAUUGGAUUUUGUAUUAGAUCUUUAAAGAUGGAUUUGAAGGUAAUUUUGGGUAAAUACCCAAAAUGAUUUUAGCUCUAGGGUACGUACAUAUCGCCCGUCGCUUUCGCUCCAAGGUGAAAUAAGUCGUAACAGAGUAGGUGUACUGGAAAGUGUUCCUAGAAGUGG